AAGGCAUUGAUGCCUUACUAGCUAAAAAUGAGAGUUCAACAUUUGAAAUUAAUGCCACGACUAUCAACAGGCUCUCCGCAAUCAGGUCCAAAAUCAUCAAUUAGAAAGGUAAGCCUCAUGUACCAAUGUACCAUCAUUCAUUAAAAAGAAGAAGAAGAAACCCUGACCUGUUCUUGGUUGCCAACCUCUUUCUUGUCGAAAUAUUGUAAGUUACACUGCUUAGGGAUCAUGGAUACUUGUCUAUAAAUUCUGUUAUGACUGAUGAUACUUCAACUGCUUAAUCUAUAAUUUGUGGCUGCAAUAGUUUUGCACUCGCUAGAUUGUUGUUCCUAGCUUCUCGUCCCUCGACGAAAUGGUCGUGUCUUUGAUUUGCUUUUUUGACGAUC